rnacentral:rRNA from 1 species
AAAUCGGAGAGUUUGAUUCUGGCUCAGAACGAACGCUGGCGGCGUGGAUAAGACAUGCAAGUCGAACGCUCACUAUAGGGCAGCAAUGUUCUGUAGUGGGAGUGGCGCACGGGUGAGUAACACGUGGGUAAUUUACCCUGAAGUUGGGGAUAACCCCGAGAAAUCGGGGCUAAUACCGAAUGUGGUCAGGGAGGGGAAUCCCUCUCUGAUUAAAGCUGGGGACCGUAAGGCCUGGCGCUUCAGGAUAAGCCCGCGGCCCAUCAGCUAGUUGGUAGGGUAACGGCCUACCAAGGCUAAGACGGGUAGCUGGUCUGAGAGGACGACCAGCCACACUGGAACUGAGACACGGUCCAGACACCUACGGGUGGCAGCAGUCGAGAAUCUUUCACAAUGGGCGAAAGCCUGAUGG